UGACGAUGGAAUAAAAUUUAAUUGCAUUCUCUCUUACUAUAGAUGCUAAAAAGCUAUUUGAAAAAAAAUGAACAGGCCUUAUAAUGCUUCUCGAGUGGAAGUCUGAGAACCAGAAAUGACAGGACCAAAAACCUGAACACCUAAAAUACAUUGUCGUCAAAACAAACAGCUUACUGAGAGAAAAUCUGGGGAAGCCCUUUGCAAGCACCGAAUCUAAAGGCAGGAGCUUCUGCCAGAAAUAGAAAAGGGGAUGUCGUCAUCUAGGAUGGCAGAUACCACAGCCUGAAAUGGACUUUGCAGGUGCCAAGAAACUUUGUAGCAAUAUGCAAAAGAAUUGAGCUUCCAAGAGACCCAGCUCUUCUGCAGGCAAUAGACAAUAUCAAAGCUAAAAUGUCUGAGAUGGAGAUCUUUGACAAUAUGGAUAAGAAGCUGAAAGUAUCCAGACAGAGAGAGAACAGAAGAGAAAAUGCCGUCCGAUUUGGAACUGAGAUUCAGCAGGUAAAACAGGAACUGCAAGAUGUACAGGGGAGCAAUGCAAAGGGACGAGCCCAAGAAUUUGCCAGCCUGGAUGAAAAACUUCUAAUGGAAUCCAGCUUGAAAGCAAGUCAAGGGUAGCUAAGCAAGCACAGAGCAGAAACAGUUUCCCCACACCAGUAGGAAAUGGCAGAGAGAGAGCUGAAGUCUCUG